UUUCAAACUCUCUCUUUCUAUCCGCUGACAUAAUUCCUCAUGUAGCGGCCAUGGAGCGAUUUAGGAAGGGCGGGACUUAUCGGCUGGCACCGCUCGCUCGCAAAUAAGCGCGCAAGCGAGCCGUCAUUCUGAGUAGUCAGGCGUCUUGUGUCUUGUGUGGUUUCAUCUUGGCGGGUGAGUCACCACUUUUUGUCCGUGGGAAGACGUCAGUCAUUCGCGCUGCCUCGGGCUAAAUGAACGCACGCCAUUUUCUGCUCGCUGCCACCUACAGACCAGGUGGCGGCGCUCACCUGUUGAUGUAGCUGAGGGCCAAGUAGGUGGGCUGCUGUUGCUCUUGCUUCUCCAGGACACGAGGAUCCGUAUCUGAAAGGAGGACACGCUGCGUGUUAAUCAAACUCUACAUUCCCACGCCGCGCCAUCACUUUACAGGCGGCAGACGUGGAGUCUGAGGACGGCAAACAAAGCCGGAGGGGAGCACCAUUAACUUCAAAAAAAGUAACCACGCCUUCUUCCAGCCGCCUGGGAAACAAAGCUACAGGGGGACAAAUGUGUCGUGCUAGCGCCAUCAAGUGUUCAGCAAAAUAUAGCGUGCUAACCAUAAUGUAAUGAAGAUGUUGGAUCAUAUCUGUACGACUAUAUUACAUCCUGUCCUCAG